GCAUGGUGGCAUCCUAGCACCUCGGGAAGCUGGGAUGGGAGGAUCACUUGAGCCUAGGAGUUCUGGGCUAUAGUAUGCUAUGUUGAUAGGGUAUCUACAUUAAGUUCAGCAUCAAUUUGGUGACUUCUUGGGAGUGGGGACCACCUUGCCUAAGGUGGAGUGAACUGACCCAGGUUGGAAAUGUGCUGAUCAGUAGUGGGAUCAUGCCUGUGAAUAGUCACUGCAACCCAGCCUGGGCAACAGUGAAACUUCAUCUCUA
ensembl:misc_RNA Metazoa_SRP Metazoan signal recognition particle RNA